AUUGAACGCUGGCGGCAGGCCUAACACAUGCAAGUCGAGCGAGAGGCGGACGGGUGAGUAAUGUAUGGGGACUGCCCGCUAGAGGGGGAUAAAUACUGGCAACGGUGGCUAAUACCGCAUACUAUCGGAUAACCCAUAUGGGGUUAGCUAGUAGGUGGGGUAAAGGCUUACAUAGGGGACGAUCUCUAGCUGGGCUUAGAGGAUGAACAGCCAAACUGGGACUGAUACACGGCCCAGACUCCUACGGAGGCAGCAGUGGGGAAUAUUGGACAAGGGGCGCAAGCCUGAUGCAGCCAUGCCGCGUGUAUGAAGAAGGCCUUAGGGUUGUAAAGUACUUUCGGCGGGGAGGCGUUACCCGCAGAAGAAGGACCGGCAAAAUCCGUGCCAGCAGCCGCGGUAAUAC
rnacentral:rRNA from 1 species